AUUGAACGCCGGCGGCAGGCUUAACACAUGCAAGUCGAGCGGUAACAGAGAGAAGCUUGCUUCUCUGCUGACGAGCGGCGGACGGGUGAGUAAUGCCUAGGAAUCUGCCUAGUAGUGGGGGAUAACUAGCCGAAAGGUAAGCUAAUACCGCGUACGUCCUACGGGAGAAAGGAGGGGACCUUCGGGCCUUUCGCUAUUAGAUGAGCCUAGGUCGGAUUAGUUAGUUGGUGAGGUAAUGGCUCACCAAGACCGCGAUCCGUAACUGGUCUGAGAGGAUGAUCAGUCACACUGGAACUGAGACAUGGUCCAGACUCCUACGGGAGGCAGCAGUGGGGAAUAUUGGACAAUGGGGGGAACCCUGAUCCAGCCAUGCCGCGUGUGUGAAGAAGGUCUUAGGAUUGUAAAGCACUUUAAGUUGGGAGGAAGAGCAGUUAACUAAUAUUUGACUGUUUUGACGUUACCGACAGAAUAAGCACCGGCUAACUUCGUGCCAGCCGCCGCCGUAA
rnacentral:rRNA from 1 species